UACGUAGGGUGCAAGCGUUGUCUGGAAUUAUUGGGCGUAAAGAGCUCGUAGGCGGUUUUGUCGCGUCUGCUGUGAAAACCCGAGGCUCAACCUCGGGCCUGCAGUGGGUACGGGCAGACUAGAGUGCGGUAGGGGAGAUUGGAAUUCCUGGUGUAGCGGUGGAAUGCGCAGAUAUCAGGAGGAACACCAAUGGCGAAGGCAGAUCUCUGGGCCGUAACUGACGCUGAGGAGCGAAAGCAUGGGGAGCGAACAGG
rnacentral:rRNA from 1 species